GUCUACGGCCAUGCCACCCUGAACAUGCCCGAUCUCGUCUGAUCUCAGAAGCUAAGCAGGGUCGGGCCUGGUUAGUACUUGGGUGGGAGACUACCUAGGAAUACUGGGUGCUGUAGGCA
rnacentral:rRNA from 1 species